GAUAACAAUGUGUGGUUGUUGCUGGCCAAUAGAUUUCACAAUGGUGCAGAAGAAUUAGCGGCAGUGACGCAAAGCAAAAGAUUUCAUGUUCUCGCUUAUAGUAUUCCUCUCGAGUGAUACGGCACAGUGGACCUUAUCACCACCUCAGCUAAUUGGGUGGGGCUGUAAACAAAAACAAUCGUACCAUGGCGCUACAAAAAGUAAAAAGAAAUAAACCAGCGGCAUAUCGACCUUUGAGGAUGAGAGAGAUAGAGACUCUCUCUAGAGACUACUAUAAAAGCGCAGCAUCCGAUUCAGAAAAUGCAUACAGUGGCUGAAUUUCAAAACCGACGCAAUAAUAAUCAUCAACAAACAUGGGUAAACUUUUGGUUUAUACUAUUUUUGUCAUUUACGCUUUGAUGAUGGUGAUGGAUUUUGCUGCAGCAUGCCAACCUCAUGAUUCACCGUGUGUUGGAGCAAAUGGAGCGCAAGGAAACUGCUGUGGUGGCAUGCAUUGUCAGAAAAAUGAUCCCAGCUGGAGUGAGGGAAGGUGUUAUUACAACCCUGGAAAAUAAGGAAAAUAUAUGGAUCCAAUAUUUGAGUUAUAUAAAAAUAUAAUUAUUAAAAUAAACCCAUAAAAUUGUUUGUAUUCCAAAAACUCUUUAAAACUCCCCCUGCAAAAAAUUAUACAAAUUUUAAAAAUAUUGAAUUUGUUUGUAAUUUGAUUACGUUCUUAGAAUAUUAUUGUUUUGAAUUAUUUAAAACAUGUCGCGACGACAAGAAUAAACACCACAAAGGUUGUGCAGGGACUUGCAAUAACUAGCAGCUGAAAUGUACACUA
rnacentral:sRNA from 1 species